GACGGAGGGGGCAAGCGUUGUCCGGGCUCACUGGGCGUAAAGCGUGCGUAGGUGGUGCGAUGCGUCGGCGCUGAAAGCGCCCGGCUUAACCGGGCGACGGGCGACGAUACGAUCGCACUGGAGGCAGGGAGACGUUGGUGGAAUUCCGGGUGUAGUGGUGAAAUGCGUAGAGAUCCGGAGGAAUGCCGGUGGCGUAAGAGGCCAACGAGUCCUGACCUGACACUGAGGCACGAAAGCGUGGGGAGCAAAUCGG
rnacentral:rRNA from 1 species